rnacentral:rRNA from 1 species
UACGUAGGGGGCAAGCGUUGUCCGGAAUCAUUGGGCGUAAAGAGCGUGUAGGCGGCUCGGUAAGUCCGCUCUGAAAGCCCGGGGCUCAACCCCGGGAGGCGGGCGGAUACUGUCGGGCUAGAGUCCGGAAGAGGCGAGUGGAAUUCCUGGUGUAGCGGUGAAAUGCGUAGAUAUCGGGAGGAACACCAGUGGCGCAAGCGGCUAACUGGCCGAGACCUGACGCUGAGACGCGACGGCGUGGGGAGCAAACCGG